rnacentral:ncRNA from 2 species
CAUUGUGAAGCAGAAUUCAC